UUGAAAAAAAAUUCCCGGUUCUGUAUGAAAUUAUCCAAAAUUUUCCCUCUUUUUUUAAUUCAUAGCUUUUAUUUCUCCCAAAUAUCCCUCUCUCAUUUCCCCCAAAUCAGCCCCUCUCAUUCCCCCAAAUUGACUCCGUCGGCCGAUCAUUACUACUCCGGCCGGCGAUUGCAAUUGAGCUGGACUCCGAGGUUGGUGCAAAGUAGUAGUUGUCCAACAUACUGAUGACAAAGUUAAAGAUUUGCUGUUGCGAAUACAAAAUAAUGAGCAUGACUGUUAUCCACUUGCGGUCAAGGCGGAGGCAACAUUAGAUAGCCAAAGUGGAGCAAAGGAUGGAAGUGCAGCAUUGGGAUCCACUAAUUCAAAUAUUACUCAGGCAGUUUUUGAAAAGGACAAAGGUAGUACCAUGUUUGGGUAGCGAAGUAGAUCCUCUGGGUUAAUGGCAUGAGGUAUGAGUUGCAAGAGAUUUUCCGGAUUGGUAAUUCAGUUGAAAGUGACUUUGAUGGAAAUGAUCUUGGGAAAAAAUGUGUGAUAUGCCUCUCUGAACCUCGCAAUACUACUGUACUUCCGUGUCGGCACAUGCCAAGCGAUGUAGCUAGUGGACCCAUUUUGCCCAUGGAUGCAAAGAGAUCACGUGAUGAUAAUGAUCCUAAUGACAUUCUUUGAUUUUGUUGCAUUUGUCUUGGAUAUUUAAUUAUGAUGAUGUAAUUGUGUGGUUGGAGUGAAUCUUAGAAUAUUGAAGGUUUUGUGUUUAAAUUUGA